UCUUUUACGACCAAAGUUGGUCACUAUCACACUCUCCAAAUCUCUCUUAACGCGCAAACGACGAUCAUUUUCUUCGUGGGGGCAUUUGUGAUCUUUGCGUGUGGGGAGUGUCCAAAUCCCCCCAGGCAGCAAGAGAGUAGCAACUCCUCUGUCCGGUCAGGCUGGAAAGCGCGCGUCCAGAAAUUGGAUUGCUUUCUUUCUUCUGCGCGCCGAGACCCCUCUCUCUCUCUCUCUCUCUCUCUCUCUUCUUCCCUCUUUUCUCUCUUGCAGCUUUUUGUUUCGUGGGCAUUCGCUGGCGCGCGCAGGACACAUUCUUGCCGGGCUGGGCCGAUCGAGCAAGCAAUUGGGUCACUGGAUUUGUCGUGCUGCUCUACUGGGUGGGAUUUGCGAGCCAGAGAGUAAAAAGGAUUGGUUUCUCAUGCCUAGGGGGAGAUGAUCAUAUCUGAUCAACCAAAGUCAAGGAUAAGUGGACAGCGACUGGCCAGGAUGAGAGAAGAGCCGAGAGGAGAAAAGAGAGACCUUUCUCCAUCUUUCUUUCCCCUUUGUGUGGUAGUGGCUUAGCUCCUCUAGCUAGCGCUGGAUAAUUCCAAUCCAGAUAGAUGGUUGGAAUUGGAUCUGAGGAGCUCUUGAUCUUGUCGCUCGCCAAGAGAUGAGGAGCGCUACUGGUGAAUGGAGAUCCGCGAGGUUCCAGAGGUGUCACCUCCAAACGGCGGUGCCAAGUCUUACAGCCAUCGUUCGCAUUCUUCGUCCUCUCGAGGUUCUAUCAAAGGCGCUGUUGGAGCGAGAAAGAUCAAAAACUCGGGUAGCGAGGAACAAAAGGCUCCGGAGCAGCAGCCCCGCAUCUCUCCGG